rnacentral:lncRNA from 1 species
AUGAAGUUGUUCUCUAAACCAGCAAGGCAGAAAAGCAGCAGGCGCAAAGAUUGCAUGAAGUACCGAAUGACAAAACUGAAGAUGAAUAGUCUGGCAAAGAAAUCUGAAGUUGAGUCAGAGAACAUUUGUGCACCAAACAUAAGGGAAUUGAACUCAGGACUUUGCACUUGCCAUGCAGGCACAGUGCCACUGAGCCACAUCCCCAGCCCUAACCUGUAUGCUUCGUGA